UCGGAUUCGUGGAUAGCAUAGCCCCAUUCUCGAGUCGGCUGUUUUCGCUUCCUGUCGGCGCUUUGUGUCUAAUCGUGUGUGUGUUCCUCGCAUGUGUUCGCUUGUUUAUGUGUGUAACAAACUGUUGGGUUCAAAAGGAGGAAGACCCAAGAAAAGGAAUUAUUUAAAAAAUAACAACAUCGGAAUAAAUAGUGUCUCUUCUGUGCUGGAGACAGGGAUAGGAAGUGGAUAUGGAUAUACAUUCUCUUUUUUUAUGUGUGUGGAUUACUCUGUAGUGGUUUAGUUUCAUGAGUGGAUCUAUCUCUGUGGAUUCAUUCACCUACAUUUUGUUUGUGCCGUGGAUAAAUCGAGGGAAUCUAGACUAGAUCUAGGUGUGAAUGUGCUGUUCUUUCAUUUAGGAUUCCUCCCCGCUGAUGUGCCGUGUGUGUGUGUGGCUGGAUGGAUUCAUGGGAGAUUUGACCCCGGAGUAAAUGAGCUAACAUAUCUAGUCUAGUACACACACACACGCACACACUUGGCGCACUUCUGCAGACACAAACCCACUGGCACCCACCCCCUCGUCGUCGUCUCAACAGCUGCACUGAAAAGGUAAGAACGGCGAAGAUUUCAUUCACGAUACGUCCAUCCAACAGAGAGAAUUAUUUUCUUCAGAAGCCACGGACACGUUACCCAUUACGUCAUUGCGGGGCAAGUGUCACGUGGUCCAGUAUACUGAUCUCAGGUCAGCCUGCAGCUUCGUCCCCAGUCCCGACCAUUUCUUCUACAUUCUUGCUUACAGACCGGACAAUCGUAGGCUGGCUACUACGCAGGGCGAGAUCAGGGUGGGGCCGAGCCAUCAGGCUCGGCUACCAGAAUGUAAACCAGACACCAACCCAGCGGACAUGCCUGAGAAGUGUGAGCACCGCGAGGAGAUACGGUGGCGCCCCAACAGGGUGGUGGACGGAGACCUCCUGAUGUACUUGGGGGCUGCAAGGAGUAUAGCGGCCUUCGCAGGCAUGUGUGGGGGCACCGCUGAGGAUAGGUGCGAAGCGGAAGCCAUGGAUGAGACAACCGCCAACGCCCUGGACACGGUAAGUGAACCAUUCUAUGAAGCAGUCUACAUUUACACGAAACAGUCUACAUUUACACGAAACAGUCUACAUUUACACGAAACA
rnacentral:sRNA from 1 species